rnacentral:rRNA from 1 species
UACGAAAGGGGCUAGCGUUGUUCGGAAUUACUGGGCGUAAAGCGCGCGUAGGCGGCUUGGCAAGUGAGGCGUGAAAGUCCUGGGCUCAACCUGGGGACGGCGCUUCAGACUGCCUCGCUUGAGGCCGGAAGAGGGUGGUGGAAUUCCGAGUGUAGAGGUGAAAUUCGUAGAUAUUCGGAGGAACACCGGUGGCGAAGGCGGCCACCUGGUCCGGUACUGACGCUCAAGCGCGAAAGCGUGGGGAGCAAAC